CUGUGAUGGCCACUGAGACCAGAAAGCAUUUCGCUGAAUAAAUGGACACAGAAAAGAGACAGAAAUCAGCAAGGCUGCCCUCUGAAGACACUUUGAAGCUCCUUCCUUGUCACGUGUGUUCAGUUCCACAAAUUGGACUGCCUUCAAGAUUUGAAUUUAAUGGAAGGCUAAUGCAGAAUCCAAUUACCACAUUCUGACUUCACAGGCAGAUUACAGAGCUUCAAAAAGAUAAAUCGAUCCAACAGGUCUUGCUGAGGACCAGAAUGAGGAAUGUUUAUAAAGCACCAGGACAGGCACACAAUGUAUGCAGAUCUGGAAAGGUAAACCUUUACCUCAUAGAGGCUUCACAGCUGAGAAUGGCCAUGGGGACAAGUCUGUGGAGGGGAAGUGGUUUUGCCUGAGCCUCUUCCAAUACUACUUUCCUCCUACUUGGAAUGUAUCUGGGCCAAGAACAACAGAGUCAGGAGUGAGGAGUAUAGAUCUACAAUUUAGCCACUAUUCAGCAAGCAUUUAUUGAGCAUCUACUGCGCUCUGGUAGGAGGUGAAGGAUAAAGAUAUAAAACAAAGGGACAGUCCCUAGCUUUAUGGAACAUGUAAGGACAUGCUUUAUAAGAGCAGCACAAAGUGAUACAAGCCAUAAAACUCAGUAAGCUGGAGUGGUCUGGGGAGAUGGUAUUCACCACAGGUAUUCUCAAUAAACCAAUGGGGAAAAUUACAGUAUCAUGUUUUUGAAAGACUGGCAUGUUGUCAGUAAAAGCAAAGUGAAAUAACAGAUUUGGGAAAGAAAUGUUUUGCUUGAUAAUUCAUUGUGAUUUCAGCUUAUCUUCUCACUGGACUAUAGAGAUGACCAAAAGAAAUAAAAAUCUGAAAAUACUUAAAGAAGGAAAGUUCCAUGGCAGUGGAACUGGACAUCUGCCAUGUAGGCAAACCUGCAACUGUAGUGCCAGGAGAUUGCCAAGAAACUCAGCCUUUUUCCAAGUUCCUUGUGGACCCCAGUCAUAAGCUCUCUAAUAAUUACCACUGCACUUGCGACUAGGAAGCUAUCUGUGCAGUCCUCAGUCGUCAUGUCCUUCCAGAAGAUGCUGGUGUCUGGUGAGCCAGAAGAGAGCUGUGACAGCCACUGAGAAGAUAGCUGUGACUCCAGCUUCUCCUAGAAAAGGGUGGGAGCUGUCCAAGCUACGUGUCCUUAGCUGUGACACUGUGCCCUUGGGCACCUGGCCAGGACCUCUCAGCCACCUGAAUGGAUCCACUUCUUGGAUUUCCUCCAAGGAGAAUGUGACCUAAUUUAUGAGAAAUACAUGGAGCUCCAGAAUCUGAACAAAAAGAGAAUGCUGAAAGCAGGAACCUCAUCCCCCACCACAUGGAGGCACUUACUAGAAACCAGGCUCUGUGCAAUGAAUGUUUGAACUCAUCUGCCUUUCUCUAGUUAAUUCUCAGCUGCCCCCAUGAAGCAGGCUGAUUUAUAACAAUGGAGAAACUGGGUGUAAACUUGGGAAACACCAUAGAAUGAGCCAACACUCUGACACCUGUGUUCUCCUGACCCUCCUCAUAGACAAUUGCCACUCCUGGUGACCUGAGGUGUGAAGUGGUCAAAGCAAACCCAAAGUUUCAGUAUAUACAUAAACCACCAAAAAGAAAUGCAAAACCCCCAAGAAUGCAUAUAGAGGCGUAUGUAUAGUGUAUACAAAGCAUACAGAUAUAGCACAGUUUAUGUAAAGAAUACACACACACAAAUGCUAAUAAACAGCAGCUAAUAGAAACGAGCUUUUUGAAAAAAAAAAUUUCUGUGUGCAGUGAAACCUGGAGGCUCAGAGGCAAAGAUCUCAGGAGAUGUUUCCUGUGGCUUCCUGCUCUGACCACAGUGAGGUGCACCUGGGGGUCAUAGCACCAUCCUGCUACGGCAGUGCUGCGGAGCCCAGGGCACUGAGCAGGUUAUACGUAAGCUGGCAUGGAAACACCCUACAUGAAGCAAUUUUUCCUUUGGUGUCUUCGUUGUCAGUGUGUUUUUCAAAUCAAUGGGAAAAUAGCACAGCAACUGUGUUCACCCAAGAAGGACCAAAUAUUCUUGUCAUGAACACAAAUGAGCCGUUACGUUUUCAAAUACUUAGUGUUUUCAGGGAAGGCACAUGAUCAUUAUGAGCUUGAAAAUGCUUCUUAGGCCUGGAGAUAAUAAACUGUUUUAUCAUGUGCUCUGGAGACUCAGUUUUGCCAAAAAUUUGGAUUUUCAAUGACAAAAAUGCCUCACAUAAAUUAAAGAAUCA